rnacentral:rRNA from 1 species
AUUGAACGCUGGCGGCAUGCCUUACACAUGCAAGUCGAACGGCAGCACGGGGGCAACCCUGGUGGCGAGUGGCGAACGGGUGAGUAAUACAUCGGAACGUGCCCGGUAGGUGGGGGAUAGCUCGGCGAAAGCCGGAUUAAUACCGCAUACGACCUGCGGGUGAAAGGCGGGGGAUCGCAAGACCUCGCGCUAUCGGAGCGGCCGAUGUCA